rnacentral:rRNA from 1 species
UACGAAGGGGGCUAGCGUUGUUCGGAAUUACUGGGCGUAAAGGGUGCGUAGGCGGGUCUUUAAGUCAGGGGUGAAAUCCUGGAGCUCAACUCCAGAACUGCCUUUGAUACUGGCGACCUUGAGUCCGGGAGAGGUGAGUGGAACUGCGAGUGUAGAGGUGAAAUUCGUAGAUAUUCGCAAGAACACCAGUGGCGAAGGCGGCUCACUGGCCCGGUACUGACGCUGAGGUGCGAAAGCGUGGGGAGCAAACAGG